rnacentral:lncRNA from 10 species
GGAAAAGACAUGAGUGAAGGAAAGGGGCUGGCUGAGUUUCCUAAAAAUAUUUAAAGCAGGGUUUAUCUUUUUGAGCCAAGUAAAACUAGAGCCUAGUAAUCGAGCCUAGUACACUGUGGACAAGAAUCAGUUAAACAGCAACCCCUUAGAAAAACAGCACACCCAAACAUUGCUAGGGAACAGCUGGAGAGAGACCAUUUUAGGGAAUAUUUCAGUCUAGAAGUUAUUCUCUCCCCACCAUGGGUGAGACAGGCUUGUAAGACUCCUUCAGGCACAUCAGACAAGAUAAAGAAAGCAUUUUUACAGAUGAGAAGAUUGUGAUACCUCCCACUUUUGCAAGGGUAUGUGAAGUAACAAAUGGAUGGGGGGUUGGGGGGAGGCAACUGGUACUUACAGAAACACGUUUGAUGAAAUGUUGAAUGUUUAUGUCUGAAAUUUGAACAGCUGGUUCCAGACUGAGAAUUCAUGUCUGUAACAUGUCUGCUGCUGGCCAGGAAAGUGAUUAUUCUUCCAUGGAUUAGCAUGGGAUGCAGAAGAAAUCAAAAGAUGCCACAGGCCUGGAAUGACCUUUGCAAGAUGAUGAGCUGAAUCGGAGUCAAACCGCUGCACUGCCUUGACCACACCCUGCCAAGGGUUUCAUCAGUUCCUCAGUGAGAAGGAAUAGGCAUUGGACUUCAAAAAUGGUGGGAAAAGAGUUCUAAAAAGGCCAAUAUUUAUAGAACCUGAGCUGAGCCGAGUGGCAGCCAGCAUCGUGUGGCAUGUGGCUACCUUGGAUGGUGUUUCCUGGAUGAUCUCCACCCUCCUCCAUCCCUCCCAGCCAAAACAAACCACCAUCAUCAAGAUAAGGCAUCGUCAACUUUUGUCAAUGUUGAAUUCCAAGAAAAGAAACAUUUUGUUUCGUCAUUUUCUUUGCCUGGCAAAAUUUUACUUGCAGCCUUCAUUCCACCAAAUGGAAGGAAC